AGUGACGCUGGCGGCAGGCUCACAGAUGUCAGUCGAGCGGAGAGAGGUAGCUUGCUACUGAUCUUAGCGGCGGACGGUGAGUAAUGCUUAGGAAUCUGCCUAUUAGUGGGGGACAACAUUUCGAAAGGAAUGCUAAUACCGCAUACGUCCUACGGGAGAAAGCAGGGGAUCUUCGGACCUUGCGCUAAUAGAUGAGCCUAAGUCGGAUUAGCUAGUUGGUGGGGUAAAGGCCUACCAAGGCGACGAUCUGUAGCGGGUCUGAGAGGAUGAUCCGCCACACUGGGACUGAGAUACGGCCCAGACUCCUACGGGAGGCAGCAGUGGGGAAUAUUGGACAAUGGGCGCAAGCCUGAUCCAGCCAUGCCGCGUGUGAAGAAGGCCUUAUGGUUGUAAAGCACUUUAAGCGAGGAGGAGGCUACUUUAGUUAAUACCUAGAGAUAGUGGACGUUACUCGCAGAAUAAGCACCGGCUAACUCUGUGCCAGCAGCCGCGGUAAUACAGAGGGUGCAAGCGUUAAUCGGAUUUACUGGGCGUACAGCGCGCGUAGGCGGAUAAUUACGUCAGAUGUGAAAUCCCGAGCUUACUUGGGAUUGCGUCGAUACUGGUAGCUAAAUGUGGGAGAGGAUGGAAAUCCAGGUGUACGGUGAAUCGUAAGACUGGAGGAUCCGAUGGGAGGGACCUCUGGCAUAAUGAG
rnacentral:rRNA from 1 species